GAUUUCUGGUUUGAUGCGCUUAGCCCGCCACGAUUUCGUGUGUGAGUGCUGGGUCGUGUCUGCCAUCCUUCUAGAUCAUAACUUCCCUCCUCUUUACUGAGGCGGGGAAGAUUAUUCUAGAUCUUUUACUUUGAAAAAAUUAGAGUGUUUAAAGCAGGCGUUUGCUAUGAAUACAUUAGCAUGGAAUAAUAAUUUAGGACUUUGGUUCUAUUUUGUUGGUUUCUAGGACUGAAGUAAUGAUUGAUAGGGAUAGUUGGGGGUGCUAGUAUUCAGUGGCCAGAGGUGAAAUUCUUGGAUUCACUGAAGACUAACUUAUGCGAAAGCAUU
rnacentral:rRNA from 1 species